GUUUUUGUGGUGUAUAAAACAUAAGGUAUUUUCAUUACCUAGAAAAAUUUUUGUUUCAAAAAUA
rnacentral:tRNA from 1 species